rnacentral:rRNA from 1 species
AGCAGCCGCGGUAAUUCCAGCUCCAAUAGCGUAUAUUAAAGUUGUUGCAGUUAAAAAGCUCGUAGUUGAAUUUCGGAAUCAAUGGAUCGGUCAUGCCACUCGGUGUGUACUGGUUUGAUUGGUUCUCACCUUCUAAGGAACCGUGAUGUCAUUAAUUUGGUGUCGCGGGGAAUUAGGGCUGUUACCUUGAAAAAAUUAGAGUGUUUAAAGCAAGCUCACGCUUGAAUACAUUAGCAUGGAAUAAUGAAAUAGGACAUUGUAUUCUAUUUUGUUGGUUUCUAGGAUCGAUGUAAUGAUUAAUAGGGAUAGUUGGGGGCAUUAGUAUUCAAUUGUCAGAGGUGAAAUUCUUGGAUUUAUUGAAGACUAACUACUGCGAAAGCAUUUGCCAAGGAUGUUUUCAUUAAUCAAGAACGAAAGUUAGGGGAUCGAAGACGAUCAGAUACCGUCGUAGUCUUAACCAUAAACUAUGCCGACUAGGGAUCGGAUGAUGUUAAUUUUUAAUGACUCAUUC